GUCUGCUGUUUGUCUUCUUCAUGUAUGUCUUUAAUGGGAUUCAAACAGAAGACACUGACAGGAAGUGAACUGCUGAAGAUGGAUCAUCAGAGUUCAUCUGCUGAGGUCAAAGUGAAAUGUUUUUACACUGUUCAGAGUGGAGGCAGAAAUGUUCCAUCUCCACACAGUGACACAGUCUCCAUCAGCAUACAAACUCUUCCUCAACCUGACCUGAUGGUGGAUCCAGCAGUGAUCACAGAGACAGACUCAGUCACACUGAAGUGUCA